rnacentral:ncRNA from 1 species
GCCCGCCGUACCGAACUGUGGCCUUUAUGGUCUGCGUUCCUCAGCGGUUGCUGAGGAUAGGUUGGCGGGUUUCU